rnacentral:rRNA from 1 species
AGUCGACCUUGAAAUACCACCCUUUAAUGUUUGAUGUUCUAACGUGGACCCGUGAUCCGGGUUGCGGACAGUGUCUGGUGGGUAGUUUGACUGGGGCGGUCUCCUCCUAAAGAGUAACGGAGGAGCACGAAGGUUGGCUAAUCCUGGUCGGACAUCAGGAGGUUAGUGCAAUGGCAUAAGCCAGCUUGACUGCGAGCGUGACGGCGCGAGCAGGUGCGAAAGCAGGUCAUAGUGAUCCGGUGGUUCUGAAUGGAAGGGCCAUCGCUCAACGGAUAAAAGGUACUCCGGGGAUAACAGGCUGAUACCGCCCAAGAGUUCAUAUCGACGGCGGUGUUUGGCACCUCGAUGUCGGCUCAUCACAUCCUGGGGCUGAAGUAGGUCCCAAGGGUAUGGCUGUUCGCCAUUUAAAGUGGUACGCGAGCUGGGUUUAGAACGUCGUGAGACAGUUCGGUCCCUAUCUGCCGUGGGCGCUGGAGAACUGAGGGGGGCUGCUCCUAGUACGAGAGGACCGGAGUGGACGCAUCACUGGUGUUCGGGUUGUCAUGCCAAUGGCACUGCCCGGUAGCUAAAUGCGGAAGAGAUAAGUGCUGAAAGCAUCUAAGCACGAAACUUGCCCCGAGAUGAGUUCUCCCUGACCCUUUAAGGGUCCUGAAGGAACGUUGAAGACGACGACGUUGAUAGGCCGGGUGUGUAAGCGCAGCGAUGCGUUGAGCUAACCGGUACUAAUGAACCGUGAGG